rnacentral:rRNA from 1 species
UACGUAGGGGGCAAGCGUUGUCCGGAAUCAUUGGGCGUAAAGCGCGCGUAGGCGGCCCGAUAAGUCCGCUGUGAAAGUCAAAGGCUCAACCUUUGAAUGCCGGUGGAUACUGUCGGGCUAGAGUCCGGAAGAGGCGAGUGGAAUUCCUGGUGUAGCGGUGGAAUGCGCAGAUAUCAGGAAGAACACCCGUGGCGAAGGCGGUUCUCUGGGACGGUACUGACGCUGAGACGCGAAAGCGUGGGGAGCGAACAGG